rnacentral:rRNA from 1 species
GGAAGGAUCUUAUCGAGUUAGACCG